CGCGCGGCGGGCGGGGCGGGGGCAUAUCAAUAAGCGGAGGAAAAUAAACCAACAGGGAUUGCCUCAGUAGCGGCGAGUGAAGCGGCAAGAGCUCAGAUUUGAAAUCGUGCUUUGCGGCACGAGUUGUAGAUUGCAGGUUGGAGUCUGUGUGGAAGGCGGUGUCCAAGUCCCUAGAACAGGGCGCCCAGGAGGGUGAGAGCCCCGUGGGAUGCCGGCGGAAGCAUAGCCCU
rnacentral:rRNA from 1 species